rnacentral:lncRNA from 1 species
CCGGUUCAUCUCCUAGAAUCUUUGAUCUAGGAGGUCCUCUCGACUGCAAGUCUCGAGGGUCUUCUGGUAGAACAGAGGUAGGGACCCUCCGAAGGUAGAAUCGUGAUCAGACGGAGGGUUCUCCACCUUCUGCUUUCCCUUUUCGGGGAAGAUAGGGCGACUGGCCCAAGUGGCCUGCCCGAUCGUCGAAUUCUGGAACUCCAGCGAUG